UACGGAGGAGGCAAGCGUUAUCCGGAAUUAUUGGGCGUAAAGCGUCCGCAGGUGGCACCUCAAGUCUGCUGUCAAAGACCGGGGCUUAACCCCAGAAAGGCAGUGGAAACUGAAGUGCUAGAGUGCAGUAGGGGUAGAGGGAAUUCCCGGUGUAGCGGUGAAAUGCGUAGAGAUCGGGAAGAACAUCGGUGGCGAAAGCGCUCUGCUGGACUGCAACUGACACUGAUGAGCGAAAGCCAGGGGAGCAAACGGG
rnacentral:rRNA from 1 species